UACAGAGGGGGCGAGCGUUGUUCGGAAUUACUGGGCGUAAAGGGCGCGUAGGCGGCCCGCUAAGUCGAACGUGAAAUCCCCAGGCUCAACCUGGGAACUGCGUCCGAUACUGGCAGGCUUGAAUCCGGGAGAGGGAUGUGGAAUUCCAGGUGUAGCGGUGAAAUGCGUAGAUAUCUGGAGGAACACCGGUGGCGAAGGCGGCGUUCUGGACUGCAACUGACACUGUAAAACGAAAGCCAGGGGAGCAAACGGG
rnacentral:rRNA from 1 species